GUGCUUUCUCUCCCCCCCCGGUUUUGUCAAAAUCUCUCGUACUUUGUUUACUUUUCUCGACCAAUCAGAUUCGUCUGUCGCCGCCAUUGUGGGUAUGUACUUACAUCCCGCAUAUAUUCACGAAUAUUUCGGUAAGUUUACGAAACUUUUGCACGUUUUUUCCAGUGCUUUCCUUGAGAUUCCACACUAAUUUUAUGAUAUUAAUAUAGUUUGAUUAUUCAACUUAAACCUACGAUAGACAUUUAGCAGUUAACGUGCCGUUUUCCUACAGUAAUUUGUCAUUUAAAUUUGUCAGUAUAUAGACAAAUGAGGAAUACUUUCCGUCCUUCCCAAUAACAUAGUAGGAUACGUCACUAAUUAUAUAGUCAAAUCACA